rnacentral:rRNA from 1 species
GACGAACGCUGGCGGCGUGCCUAAUACAUGCAAGUAGAACGCUGAAGAGAGGAGCUUGCUCUUCUUGGAUGAGUUGCGAACGGGUGAGUAACGCGUAGGUAACCUGCCUUGUAGCGGGGGAUAACUAUUGGAAACGAUAGCUAAUACCGCAUAACAAUGGAUGACACAUGUCAUUUAUUUGAAAGGGGCAAUUGCUCCACUACAAGAUGGACCUGCGUUGUAUUAGCUAGUAGGUGAGGUAAUGGCUCACCUAGGCGACGAUACAUAGCCGACCUGAGAGGCUGAUCGGCCACACUGGGACUGAGACACGGCCCAGACUCCCACGGGAGGCAGCAGUAGGGAAUCUUCGGCAAUGGGGGCAACCCUGACCGAGCAACGCCGCGUGAGUGAAGAAGGUUUUCGGAUCGUAAAGCUCUGUUGUAAGUCAAGAACGGGUGUGAGAGUGGAAAGUUCACACUGUGACGGUAGCUUACCAGAAAGGGACGGCUAACUACGUG